UUAGUAUAGACGUUUGGUUUCAGGCUAGGGUUAGUCAUUGCUGUGUACCUGAAAAUGAAUGCUUCAUGGGGCAGGGCCAGGUGCAUGUAAGGUGUGCAGGAACGCAGUACUCCCAUGCCGUGUGUCAGGCUCGCUCCUCAUUCAAGCGGCAGGCGCAGAGGGGACUAAUCUGGAGAAUGUGGUGUGAUAUGAAUCUCUAACAAGUACCCCGGCUCAACCCAAGGUCACCCUCACCGCCUGUCCCCAUUCGCAGCGACCGGCGUUUUAUUCCACCUACCCAUCAUUCAAAAUGAGCAACUUGAACCUCUCCCUGGACAACCCCUAUGGCAGCGUGACCAUCCCUCGCGCCAAGCUGAGCUCCGUCGAAGACGGCAGCGUCGUCAUAGCCAAUCCGGCGGCGGUCUAUAAUGCAGCCGGCCCCUCCGCCCUCAACCCCUAUGGAAAUUUCCAGCCCCAGGGAGAACAAGGACCCCAAGGCCCGUCAGGUCAGACCCCCAUGCCCUACCAGGGCAUGGGCUCCACCUACGUAAUCAAGGAGACUGAGGAGAAGGACAGUUGCUGCUACACCUGCUGGUGCUGCUGUUGCCGCCGCCGGAAGAAGAAAUAAAGCAUCGAUUCCGCCUCCUCCUCCGACCGUCGGCCAUCUUGAAGCGGACCCAGAUGCCCACGACCGUGAGCUUCUAACACAGAGGCAGGCCAGCUAGCUACAGGAAGCAGCAGGAUGUCUAUGGAACCUCCCUCCUUUGAACUGCAGAGCAUAUUUCUGUUUUGCAUUGCUUUGGAUCUAGCGUGCCUGAAUCACAAACUGAAAAAUUUAUGCGUAUAAUGACAAUCAUUCAAGAUUCAAGAUAAUUUGAUAUAUUGUCGACAGUGACAAGACAGUUUCUGGUCUAGAAAGCAAGAAAUGCCCUGUAGGUGUCUGAUAUGGCAGAGCACAUGACAUUCGUCCCAGUGAGAAGUGGAAUUACAGAGAUGGAUCAGAUCAUUUCCAUACUGCACCCAGAUGACUCAUAAACCCAGAUUUGCAGCUCUGUGGUCAUCAUUGUUUUUUCCCAUUCUUGGUGUCAUUGUACCCUAUCUUUGCCACUUCCCCUGUCAGUCAUUUUGAACAGUGUGAUAUCUGUUUUCCACAAAAGACCAUAUCUAAGAUCUCAAGCAUGUAGAUGACUCUUUCAGGACUACUAUUGUGGUUGAAGUAUGGGUGAGGUUUUCUCUAUAGGGAGUGGUCAGUUUAUGUGGGCCUGAGUGACUGACUAACACCCGGACACCACACCCUACAACGCUGCCCUCUUGACAAAAUAAGAAGGGCACAGGCCCGCCCUGACCGUAAAUGGACUGCUGUGAGACUAGAGACUUGUUUGUUAUCUCUCGGCAUGUGUACUGUAACUCGUUUCACCGUAUUACAAGAGCUGGGUCAAUAAUGGUGAGGGUGUGGGGUACUUGAGACAAGAGCUGCUUUGGAAUGCUUCGGGCCCAAGGCAACUUCUGGGCUUUGAUGGAGUGAGAAGUAAAGAUAUAAAGGCAGGUGAAAUAACUGACCGGUAAUAAGCGAAUUAGGCUCUGUCAUAACACACAUACUGCUUACCUGUGCCGACCAGCAUGUCCAGCCAGAUUGAUACUGUAUGCAGUGUUUCUAUGGCAGUCACCUGUUAAAUCCUGCUUUGACUGGUGGAUCUUUGAUUACUCUCUGGACCCCGAAUGAAUGGGAGUUUUAGGGGUUCCCUAUUCGAUCAUCACCCAUGUUCACUAUUGGCAUUAUGAAACACUUCAGACCUGGUCUUCUAAACAUGUUAUUAGAAAUUACCAAAAUAAAAUGGGAGUGUUUGAAAUAC